UUUUAACGGUUUCUGUUGCUUUUUAACGGAAUAUUCCUAACGGGGUUAGGGGAUUCUGUUAGGGUUCCUUGCGUGUAGGGCCGUGCCCUUGCCGGCGCGUGACGGCUCCAAAAAUUAUUUUAAAAUUUUGGGCGUGUUCAUGGAGUUGUGUAGGUCACGAUAGUAUAUUUAUAUACCUCAUUUGAGCAAUGUAUGAUAAGUUAUUAGUCAGUAUUGGUUAUGGGAGACUUAUCCCGAGGACGAGCGCAAUCAAGGGCGACUCGGGGGCUACGACCCUUCGACAUACCAGUUUUAGGUAAGCUUGUCCGUCAGUGGCUUGCGAGGAUUGAACGGAGGUUCUGACAAAAUACCACAAUGUAGGACAUUUUUGGGUGUCGUUUAAUUAGUACUAGUUUUCUAGACUGAAUUUAGGCUACUCAUGCUCUGAUUGUGUAUUCACACAUUUUCUAGCACUUAUCUUAGCUAGUACUUUUAUGAAUUGGUUUUUAUUUAUUCGUAUUCUCUAUUAUCCUUCUUGCUUUCGUACUGUGCAUAUGACUACGUCAUCCUCACUUGACGGCCAGCAUGCCCUGAUUCGGGUCGGGGUGUGUCAAUUUGUAUAAAAUAAAAAAUAAAAACUUAAACAAAGAUUUCUAGUUGAAAACAAAAGCCAACCAUUGUCCCAGAACCAGAUGUUCCCAGAACACCAGAGAUGAUCCCUUUCCACCAAAUCCACCUAAUCCAAGAUCCGGACCGUUGUAUUUUGAUCCAACAGCUACAAUUAUUAUAACUUUUAAAGGGUCCCUGUUUGUAGAUGUUGGAUCAAAUUAAAAUCUAAUGGCUACAGUUAUUAUAACUUUUAAAUGACCCUUUUUUGUUGUCAUUGGAUCAAAUUUCAACUGUCUGAAUCACGGAUUAGAUGGAUUUGAUAGAGAGGGAUCCGAUCCCUUUC
rnacentral:sRNA from 1 species